UCGGUGACACACUCUUGGUGGCCAAACCAC
rnacentral:piRNA from 1 species